rnacentral:rRNA from 1 species
UACAGAGGUGGCAAGCGUUGUUCGGAAUUACUGGGCGUAAAGGGCGCGUAGGCGGCCUUUCAAGUGACGGGUGAAAUCCCUCGGCUUAACCGAGGAACUGCCUGUCAGACUGGAAGGCUUGAGACCGGGAGAGGUGAGUGGAAUUCCCAGUGUAGCGGUGAAAUGCGUAGAUAUUGGGAGGAACACCAGUGGCGAAGGCAGCUCACUGGACCGGUACUGACGCUGAGGCGCGAAAGCGUGGGGAGCAAACAGG